rnacentral:lncRNA from 1 species
AAAUAAUAUACAAAAUUUGGGAAGUGAAUAUGAGAACACUGGAGAACCGCAACACGUGCAGGCAUUAUUCCAUAAUGUAGAGUUAAACAGACAUCAUCUUCCAGUGGUGGAUCUUGGAGCAGGUCUAGUUAUCUCUCUAUCUGAGCAUACACAAAAUGGUAAGGGACAGGUUGAGGUUGAGGAUAUCCAGAUAAAGAGUGACUUGAUACAUAUACAUAGUUACCUGGAUAUGAUAGAAGAUAGUGACUUGAAUGGUGAUUGCUCUCACAAUGACAAUACUAAUAGCAGCAAGGGAUGUGUUUUUUCCAUCGAAAUAAAGGUACCUGCACAAUUUUAUUAAGUAGCAGCAGCUUAGAUUAGAAUAUACAUCUACAUGACUUUUCCUGAGAAUAUGCGACCAUAGAAUGAGUAACGACCAGAGAUAUUGUGGCAUAAAACUAACUAUAGAGCACAAAACUAGUAUAAUUCUCUCCCUUCGACAAGAAUUUCAUAAAACUAACUACAUGAAAUAUAUGAUUAAGAAACAUUAUUGGAGUUCUCAAAAAUGUAAACCAAGUGGUUUAGAUUCCAAUCUUAAAUAACAAGCCAAACAAAUUCUAAUGUUAAAUUAGUGAGCAACAAAACAAAGUGCACAGAAGAGACACUACUGACUCAUAAUGAAGUGCAUGGACCACAGUAGCGCAGGCCUGUAAUCAUACUAUUUAACUUAAUUACUGGCAAGAUUCUAACAAGAAAAAGCCAGAAUUAUAAUUUUACAUCAUAAUUACAAGAGAAAUACUGGCAAGUCUUAAUUUUACAUCAUAAUUACAAGAGAAACACAACAAGUCCUGUUUUAGAAGUCCUGUUAAGGCCUAUGCUCUUAACCAAAUAUAUCUUUUUAAUUCUCAAAGAUCCUUGCAAUUAAACCCUGAUCAUAUGUGACAGUAAUGUUACAAUUCAUUUUAACCGAAAGAGACAGAGUCAUAAAUAGAAUGAUUGGUAUUGUUAUAGAACUACUGCUAACACCUUGAUAUUUUAGAAGACUUAAAAACAUAACAUAAUAACAGAGUUCUUUCAAUGUGUGGUUACUUACUUGAAAGAGCUUUACACUUUGAUGAACCAGCUUCUAGGCUCUAGCUAAGCAGCUCUGCUUAUUAAAGACAGACGACAUAUUAAAGAGUGUUAGAAUUUACAAGACAGUGACAGAAGAGAUGAAAAAGAAGAACAGUAGUACACAUACAAUUUGAUAAUUUCUUUAAAGUAAGACUUGCAUUAUCAACAAAUUGACGAGACGCAACCAACAAGACAAAUAUACACAUGUGUGUUCGUGAUCCAGCAUCGCUUUCAGACUAUAAUUUGCAGGCACAUCAGCAAAAAAAACAACAUACUAUGGCUUUUCAGACUGACCAAAAAUUACACCAAUAAGACUUAAAACAAUAUUAGCUAGCAAUUGAUUUACAAACGACGACUCGAAGAGACAAUAUCGUAAUGGAAUUAAGACUUAAAACAAUAUCGUGUUCAGAAAAUCAGACCUAAUAAACCAUAGAUCCCCAUGUAUAUACACCAAAGAGACACAAACUUAUGUUUCCAAAAUAAACUACACCCCAGCCCAAACUUACAGCGUGAAAUUGUUUUCGUUUUUGUUUUUAAUUGUAAGAACCGACAAUAUUUCCAAAAUAAACUACACCCCAGCCGACAGUCUCAAAGGAAGCAAGCACAGCAUACAAAUGUACAGCUAGGCAUCCAUUGGCCAACCUGUUAAAAUGGAACAGCUAAGCAGCCAAGGCCAAGCUGUAAUGGUGCUUAUAUUCUUUAACACAACUCCAAUUUAUUUGACCAACCGCAUAGACGGAUACACUCUACUUCCCUGUCUCUCUUCUCUGUCACUUUCUUUCACAGCUAACAAAAUUCUACAUCUCACCUCUCUCCCUCUCUUAGGCCUCAAAUUUGGUUCAUUCUUUUCUUCAUUUUGCUCUGUUCUAGCACUUGCUCUGCAGAAUUUUACGAAACAUCAACAAGGGAACUAAUAACAAUACAAGAAUUAUGAGCUCCAUCUUGCGGAAGGCUGGAACUACUUUCCUGCCUUCAUUCUAGCCACCCGAAAAUUCUAAAACUUUGACUCCACAUCUCCACUUCUUAAACAGGAUGAAAUCUAACAAACUUUGGUCUGAAAAUUCUAAACCUUUGACUCCACAUCUCCUCUAUUAUAGACUUUUAUUCAUCGAAACGUGUCACAAAACUUGUAANGUAGACUUUUAUUCAUCGAAACAUGUCACAAAACUUGUAACUCAAUCAAAUUUGUACUCAUAAAACCCCAGACACAGCUCAAAUCUAAAUCUAACAUUUCCCCUCACUGCCAUGACAAACCAAAAUCUCCGAUCCCUCGUUUCAUUGUUUCUUGUACUCUCUUUAACAGCGUCGACUCAUUCAACUUCUGUUACUACCUCUACUACAAUUCUACAACAAUUCAAACAAGCCCCGGAAUUCUACAACUCUCCGGAUUGCCCCUCCGUCCUAAAAUUUUACGAUACCCUGAUCCAUCAUCAAUUUCUACAAGCAGGUGCUACCACUCCUACUCGUUUACACGACAACACAACACAACUUUUUUAGAGACUUUUUAUCGAACACCUAAUACACAUUAUUCGAACACAAACAUAUGACACGAAAUCAAGUGCGNACCUCGUUUCAUUGUUUCUUGUACUCUCUUUAACAGCGUCGACUCAUUCAACUUCUGUUACUACCUCUACUACAAUUCUACAACAAUUCAAACAAGCCCCGGAAUUCUACAACUCUCCGGAUUGCCCCUCCGUCCUAAAAUUUUACGAUACCCUGAUCCAUCAUCAAUUUCUACAAGCAGGUGCUACCACUCCUACUCGUUUACACGACAACACAACACAACUUUUUUAGAGACUUUUUAUCGAACACCUAAUACACAUUACUCGAACACAAACAUAUGACACGAAAUCAAGUGCGAAAACAUACUUUCGAAAACGCAACUGCCCGAUAAACAGAUACAUUAACACAUAAAUCAGCUAGAUUAACAAAUAAUUCAUCUAAAUCAAUCUACAGAUUACACAAUUUAGCAAGAUUAAUGAAACAAAUUCAAAUGGAUCAAGUUCGAACCUGUAUGCUUAGAUUGAUUUAGGUUUGAAAAUCAUUGCAAAUGAUAAAAGGAAUCGUUGAGAUGCGUGGUUUGAAGAUUCUAGCUGCUUUCCAGAUUAAGGAUUAGCUGAGUGUAGAGAGGGGGAGAGGCAGAAAAGGAAGAGAGAGAUGUGAGGAAGAGAGAGAUGCGAGAAAGAGAGGCGAGAGAGAGAGGCGAGAGGCGGAGAGAGAGGCGAGGGAGAGCUGCGUGAGAGAGGUGGAGAGCUGCGUGAAUGGAAUGGGCUUAACCCGCGCUUUAAGAAAUGAUUGGAAUGAAUAAAAGAAUCGGUUUUCUUUGGGCGAACCAAACAGAAAAUUUUAUUUUUGGAAUGGAAUGGCACAUUCCAUUCUGGGCUAAACUGAUUCCAUUCUUUGGGCGAACCAAACAGAAAUUUUUAUUUUUGGAAUGGAAUGGACCAUUCCAUUCUGGGCUAAACUGAUUCCAUUCAUGCCAACCAAACAGAGUGUUAGAACCCUUACACUCCGUUUGGUUGGGAUGAAUGAAAUUUGCUAGGAAUGGAAUGAAAUUGAGAAUGGAAUGGUGGGAGAAUGGAAACAAGUUUGAAUGGAAUGAUCGAUUCAAGGUUCUUGUUUGGUUCAUUUUUUUAUGGUUGGAAUGGAAUGAACAAUUCCAUUCAUUUGAGUUGUUUGGUUACUCAAAGGAAUGGAAUGGUAAUUAAAUUUUUUUUUUAGCAAAUAUUUCCAUGUAAAACUUUAACUUUCAGAAUUUAUAUAUUACAUACACAAAUUAAUUAAUUUCAUAAUGCGUGGUUUGAAGAUUCUAGCUGCUUUCCAGAUUAAGGAUUAGCUGAGUGUAGAGAGGGGGAGAGGCAGAAAAGGAAGAGAGAGAUGUGAGGAAGAGAGAGAUGCGAGAAAGAGAGGCGAGAGAGAGAGGCGAGAGGCGGAGAGAGAGGCGAGGGAGAGCUGCGUGAGAGAGGUGGAGAGCUGCGUGAAUGGAAUGGGCUUAACCCGCGCUUUAAGAAAUGAUUGGAAUGAAUAAAAGAAUCGGUUUUCUUUGGGCGAACCAAACAGAAAAUUUUAUUUUUGGAAUGGAAUGGCACAUUCCAUUCUGGGCUAAACUGAUUCCAUUCUUUGGGCGAACCAAACAGAAAUUUUUAUUUUUGGAAUGGAAUGGACCAUUCCAUUCUGGGCUAAACUGAUUCCAUUCAUGCCAACCAAACAGAGUGUUAGAACUCUUACACUCCGUUUGGUUGGGAUGAAUGAAAUUUGCAAGGAAUGGAAUGAAAUUGAGAAUGGAAUGGUGGGAGAAUGGAAACAAGUUUGAAUGGAAUGAUCGAUUCAAGGUUCUUGUUUGGUUCAUUUUUUUAUGGUUGGAAUGGAAUGAACAAUUCCAUUCAUUUGAGUUGUUUGGUUACUCAAAGGAAUGGAAUGGUAAUUAAAUUUUUUUUUUAGCAAAUAUUUCCAUGUAAAACUUUAACUUUCAGAAUUUAUAUAUUACAUACACAAAUUAAUUAAUUUCAUAUCAAUAGCAUACUUCCCAUUUCAUUACACAAAUUAUUAGUAUAAAAUCAACUAUAAUAAAUAUUACAAAUUUACAAAUAAAAUCCAAACUUUGGCCACUAUCAAUUCUCCAUCAUAAUUUACAAAUAAAAUACAAAAUUUGGGAAGUGAAUAUGAGAACACCGGAGAACCGCAACACGUGCAGGCAUUAUUCCAUAAUGUAGAGUUAAACAGACAUCAUCUUCCAGUGGUGGAUCUUGGAGCAGGUCUAGUUAUCUCUCUAUCUGAGCAUACACAAAAUGGUAAGGGACAGGUUGAGGUUGAGGAUAUCCAGAUAAAGAGUGACUUGAUACAUAUACAUAGUUACCUGGAUAUGAU